rnacentral:rRNA from 1 species
UAGAUGCGAGAGUAGAGCAUAUCAAUAAGCGGAGGAAAAGAAACUAACAAGGAUUCCCUUAGUAACGGCGAGUGAAGCGGGAAGAGCUCAAAUUUGAAAUCUUCAAGGUUCUACCUUGACGAAUUGUAGUUUAUAAGAAGUGUUUUCUGUUAGUAAGUUGGCUAAAAGUUCUUUGGAAUAGGACAUCAUAGAGGGUGAGAAUCCCGUAUUUGACCAUUAUUUUCAGCUGUGUGAUACACUUUCAAAGAGUCGGAUUGUUUGGGAAUGCAGUCCAAAAUGGGUGGUAAAUUUCAUCUAAAGCUAAAUACUGGCGAGAGACCGAUAGCGAACAAGUACCGUGAGGGAAAGAUGAAAAGAACUUUGAAAAGAGAGUUAAACAGUACGUGAAAUUGUCAAAAGGGAAGCGUUUGACACCAGUGUUGUUUUCUCGAAAAUCAAUUAAAAAUGGCUAGGAUGUUGUGUUGUAUUGACUUUAUCAGCUUUCUGCACUUUUUUCUUAUCUUUUUUAUGCACUUUUCGUUUAACAAGUCAACAUCAAUUUCUUUUGCUGUAAAAGAGUCAUUGGAAGGUGGCUUUCUUUUCGGAGAAAGUGUUUAUAGCCUUUGGCUUCUGCAAUCGGAGAGAUUGAGGUCUGCAGCGUAGAUCCUUCGGGGUUAGAUGCAUUUGUGCUAAGUUAUAGCCUUUCAUAGACAACUUGUUGACUAUGAUCAGUCAUGUAGCUUACUCGCUUAUGUCUAUUUUACCUACGCUUAGGAUGUUGACGAGACUGUCGAUCUC